rnacentral:rRNA from 1 species
GGCUUAACACAUGCAAGUCGAGGGGCAACGCGAGUAGCAAUACUUGGCGGCGACCGGCGCAAGGGUGCGUAACGCGUGAGCAACAGUGCCCGUAUCAGGGGGAUAAUCCAGGGAAACUUGGUCUAAUACCCCAUAGUAAUUUUGUAAGGCAUCUUAUAAGAUUUAAAGCUUUGGUGGAUACGGAUUGGCUCGCGUGACAUUAGCUGGAUGGUAAGGUAACGGCUUACCAUGGCUAUGAUGUCUAGGGGUUCUGAGAGGAAGGUCCCCCACACUGGAACUGAGACACGGUCCAGACUCCUACGGGAGGCAGCAGUGAGGAAUAUUGGACAAUGGAUGGAAAUCUGAUCCAGCCAUGCCGCGUAGAAGGAAGAAGGUCCUAUGGAUUGUAAACUUCUUUUGUAUGGGAGCAAUAAGGCCUACGAGUAGGCUGAUGAGAGUACCAUACGAAUAAGCACCGGCUAACUCCGUGCCAGCCGCCGC